UAUUCCAAAAUUCAUAAAAGGUGUUCCUUUAUAGGUUAGCUCAUUCUUUCAAGUCAUAUGUAUUCAGAGUGACCCCUACUUUCACUGUAUUAAUAUUCAAGGCAUUUUACUGUAUAGUUUUGGAGAAAACUAAAAGCAAAUUCACCCAAAACAUCAAUCUCCAUUGUUGCACUUAAACUUUUUCCCAUUUUCAAAAAUUCAUAUACAGUGUUCCUUUAUAGGUUAGCUCAUUCUUUCAAGUCAUAUGUAUUCAGAGUGACCCCUACUAUCACUGUAUUAAUAUUCAAGGCAUUUUACUGUAUCGUUUUGGAGAAAACUAAAAGCAAAUUCCCGCAAAACAUCAAUCUCCAUUGUUGCACUUAAACUUUUUCCCAUUUUCAAAAAUUCAUAUAAAGUGUUCCUUUAUAGGUUAGCUCAUUCUUUUAAUGUAUAUGUAUUCAGAGUGACCCAGACUACCACUGUAUUAAUUAUCAAGGCAUUUUACUGUAUAGUUUUUUUAGAAAACUAAAAGCAAAUUCACCCAAAACAUCAAAAUCCAUUGUUGCACUUAAACUUUUUCCCAUUUUCCAAAAUUCAUAUAAAGUGUUCCUUUAUAGGUUAGCUCAUUCUUUUAAUGUAUAUGUAUUCAGAGUGACCCAGACUACCACUGUAUUAAUUAUCAAGGGUUUCUACUGUAUAGUUGUGGAGAAAACUAAAAGCAAAUUCACCCAAAACAUCAAAAUCCAUUGUUGCACUAACACUUUUUCCCAUUUUCCAAAAUUCAUAAAAGAUGUUCCUUUAUAGGUUAGCUCAUUCUUUCAAGUCAUACAGUAUUGUUCAAAAUAAUAGCAGUACAAUGUGACUAACCAGAAUAAUCAAGGUUUUU